CCUACGGGAGGCAGCAGUCGGGAAUAUUGCGCAAUGGAGGAAACUCUGACGCAGUGACGCCGCGUGCAGGAAGAAGGUUUUCGGAUUGUAAACUGCUUUAGACAGGGAAGAUACAAGACAGUACCUGUAAAAUAAGCUCCGGCUAACUACGUGCCAGCAGCCGCGGUAAUACGUAGGGAGCAAGCGUUAUCCGGAUUUACUGGGUGUAAAGGGCGUGUAGGCGGGCAUGCAAGCCAGAAGUGAAAUCUGGGGGCUUAACCCCCAAACUGCUUUUGGAACUGCGUGUCUUGAGUGAUGGAGAGGCAGGCGGAAUUCCCAGUGUAGCGGUGAAAUGCGUAGAUAUUGGGAGGAACACCAGUGGCGAAGGCGGCCUGCUGGACAUUAACUGACGCUGAGGCGCGAAAGCGUGGGGAGCAAACAGGAUUAGAUACCCCUGUAGUC
rnacentral:rRNA from 1 species